rfam:Schistosoma mansoni strain Puerto Rico chromosome 6, complete genome
AGCCUUCUAUAUCCGUGCUGAGAUUUCGUUACACACCAGACCACAAGGGCUGAUGAGACUCACAAGAUAAGUGAAGCG